ACGGUUCGGCAUGAUCCAGCAUGAUUCAGCACUGUUUAGCACAGUUCAGAACUGUUUAGCACAGUCCAGAACGGUUCAGAACUGUUUAGCACGGUUCAGCACGGUUCAGAACAGUUUAGCACAGUUUGGCACAGAUUGGCACGGUUUGGCACAGUUCAGCAUGGUUCAGCACGGUUUGGUGCAGAUCAGGACGGUUCGGCACGGUUCAGAACAGUUUAGCGCGGUUUGGCGAAAUUCAGCACGGUUCAGAACAGUUUGGCACGGUUCAGCACUGUUCAGCACAGUUCAGAACAGUUUGGCACAGUUUGGCACAGAUUGGCAUGGUUCGGCACAGUUCAGCAUGGUUCAGAACUGUUUAGCAUGGUUUGGCACAGUUUGGCACGGUUCAGAACGAUUCA
rnacentral:lncRNA from 1 species